GCCGGGUGUGGUGACGCACGCCUGUAAUCCCAGUGGCUCGGGAGGUUGAGGCAGGAGGAUUGCGAGUUCAAAGCCAGCCUCAGCAAUAGCGAGGUGCUAAGCAACUCAGUGAGAUCCAGUCUCUA
rnacentral:sRNA from 1 species